ACGAAAGUGUCGAACGUUGUCCGGAAUAACUGGGCGUGAAGCGUGCGCAGGCGGUUUGUUAAGUCUGUUGUGAAAUCCCCGAGCUCAACUUGGGAAUUGCAAUGGAUACUGGCAGGCUGGAGUACGGUAGAGGAAGGUAGAAUUCCCGGUGUAGCAGUGAAAUGCGUAGAGAUCGGGAGGAACACCAGUGGCGAAGGCGGCCUUCUGGACCAGUACUGACGCUCAUGCACGAAAGCGUGGGGAGCAAACAGGA
rnacentral:rRNA from 1 species